rnacentral:lncRNA from 1 species
AAAAGAACCAAGCCAAGAGCAAAAGCUCUCCAACAGAAUGCUCUGCUCGAAACUUCUAUCCAAAAAGAUGCCCCCAGCCUUGUCCUUGCUUCCCUUUUUAUGCUGUGUUGGUACUCCUAUCAUAACUGACUGUGACAGGUGUCCCUUUUUCAUUCCUUGAAUCAUUCCUCUGAUUUCUUGGAUCACUAACCAAACAAGAAGCAGCCUUUGGCCUCCUUGAGUAAACUUUAAAGGGCCUGGGCUAGUUUCCAUCAAUACUUCCCCCUGAAUUAACAGCCUUGUCCUCAAGGUUGUAACAUGGAAAUUGCCCAAUGAAGUCAGAUGCAUCUACCCAAGUGGAUUCUUCAGCUAAGUGACCUGUGCAGUGAACAAGGAACUGUUUGACGUUGGUAUGGUAUUUAAUGACAUGGUGGGUUUGCAAUAUGGCAAUAGGUUCCACGACAGGUUCUCCAACAUCUUGCAGCUGUUCGGGCAGUUCGGUGACCACUUUGUGCUCCCCCACGACUCUUUUCAACUGAGAUACAUGGAAGACCAGGUGUAUUCGGGAGGAUGGCGGCAGGAGCAGCUUGUAUGCGAAGGCUCCCACCCUAGCAACAACCUCGAAGGGGCCGUAAUAGCGCGCUGCAAGUUUAGCAUUAACCCUUGCGGAAACUGAUUGCUGCCUAUAGGGCCUGAUUUUAAGGAAUACCUUGUCGCCAACCUGAAAGUGCACAUCUCACCUAUGGCGGUUGGCAUACUUAGUCAUCAAGUGCUGAGCCUUUGUAAGGUUGAAUUUCAGUUGGCGAAUGAUCUCAUCCCGGUCUUGAAGUUGGAGUGACACCUCCUCGACCCUUACUUCCCCUGGUAGGUGUUGGAGAACUGUAGGGGGAGGACGGCCAUAGACUAUCUCAAAAGGCGUUUUCUUUGCUGCACCUUGAAAGCUCAUGUUGUACCAAUACUCUGCCCAUCCCAACCAUUUUGCCCAGCUCCUGGGUUGCUCGGAGUAGAAACAGCGGAGGUAGGACUCAACACAUCGGUUUAGAACCUCAGUUUGCCCAUCCGUUUGGGGGUGGUAGGCUUAUGAGAACUUGAGUUGGGUGCCUUGGAGCUUGAACAGUUCUUUCCAAAAGUUGCUUAGGAAGAGUGGGUCACGAUCACUUACCAUAACUCGUGGAAACCCAUGUAGGCGAACAAUUUUUGAAGUGAACAAUUCAGCCACCCGUUUAGCAGUGAAAGGAUGCUUUAGUUUCAAGAAGUGACCGUACUUAGAUAAUCUGUCCACUACCACUAAAAUACAAUCAGCCCCAUGCGAUCGCGGUAGUCCGGUGAUAAAAUCUAAGGCGAUUUCCUCCCAGAUCAUAUUAGGAAUGGGCAGUGGCUAUAAUAGACCUGCUGGGGAUUGAGCCUCGUAUUUCUGGCGCUGACAAACCAAACAGGCAGCCACGAACUGCUGGAUUUGCUUCAUCAUUCCCGUCCAAUAAAAACUUGAGGCAAUACGGCGAUAGGUACGAUAUGCACCGGAAUGACCCCCGGAGGGAGUCGAGUGGAACUCUGUGAUUAACAGCUGUAACCAUUUAGAAGUGGCAGGGAGUACCAGUCGACCCUUGAAGUAGAGGCGACCAUGGAUGAGGUCAUAGUGAGGGUGCUUGGUAGGAUCCUUUUGCAAGUAGGAGGCUAACCGUUGUAGUACCCCAUCAGCUUGAAUUUCCCGGUUGAUCUCUUCCCAAUCUGCCCAAAUAGAACUUGAUAAUGCUUGGAAACGACUCUUUUCAACUGAGAUACAUGGAAGACCAGGUGUAUUCGGGAGGAUGGCGGCAGGAGCAGCUUGUAUGCGAAGGCUCCCACCCUAGCAACAACCUCGAAGGGGCCGUAAUAGCGCGCUGCAAGUUUAGCAUUAACCCUUGCGGAAACUGAUUGCUGCCUAUAGGGCCUGAUUUUAAGGAAUACCUUGUCGCCAACCUGAAAGUGCACAUCUCACCUAUGGCGGUUGGCAUACUUAGUCAUCAAGUGCUGAGCCUUUGUAAGGUUGAAUUUCAGUUGGCG